rnacentral:rRNA from 1 species
UACGUAGGGUGCAAGCGUUGUCCGGAUUUAUUGGGCGUAAAGAGCGUGUAGGCGGCCAGACAGGUCAGCUGUGAAAACUCGAGGCUCAACCUCGAGACGUCGGUUGAAACCGUCUGGCUAGAGUCCGGAAGAGGAGAGUGGAAUUCCCGGUGUAGCGGUGAAAUGCGCAGAUAUCGGGAAGAACACCCGUGGCGAAGGCGGCUCUCUGGGACGGUACUGGACGCUGAGACGCGAAAGCGUGGGGAGCGAACAGG